UUUGACGAGGGAUCCUAGCGUUGUUUGGAAUUAUUGGGCGUAAAGCGGAUGUAGGUGGCUUUGUAAGUUAGAUGUGAAAGCCCAGGGCUCAACCCUGGAAGUGCAUUUGAUACUGUGAAGCCUGAGUGUUGGAGAGGUUACUAGAAUUGUUGGUGUAGUGGUGAAAAAAGUAGAUAUCAACAGGAAUACCGGAGGGGAGGGGGGGUAACCGGCCGAACACUGACACUGAGAUCCGAAAGCGUGGGGAUCAAACAGGAUUAGAUACCCCGGUAGUCCACGCCGUAAACGAGGGAUACUUGUUGUUGGAGGUAUUGACCCCUUCAGUGACGAAGCUAACGCGUUAAGUAUCCCGCCUGGGGAGUACGGUCGCAAGAUUAAAACUCAAAGAAAUUGACGGGGGCCCGCACAAGCGGUGGAGCAUGUGGUUAAUCGAUGCAUCGC
rnacentral:rRNA from 1 species